GGCUUUUUGUUAUGCAAUUAAAGAAAGUCUGGCCUGCCCGGUGAUGAUUUAAACGGCUGCAGCUAAAACUGCAUGAAAGUAGCGUGGUAAGUCGUCUCUUAAUUAGAGGAAAGUACAAAAGGUUCGAUGAUGGGGAGUCUUUAUUAAAAGUAUGUGAGUGAAAUUUACCUGUAAGUGAAAAGGCUUACUUAAAGUUGUUAGACGAGAAGACCCUGUUGAGCUUGGUAUUAUUGGCUAUUUCUAAGUCGGUAUAUGUUUUGUCGGGGCAGAUGGGAAGAGAGAUAAUGUCUUCUUACUAUAAUACAGAUCCAGCAUGGCUGAAAAAAAGAAAAAGCUACCGCAGGGAUAACAGCGCGAUCCUUUUGUGGAGUUCGUAUUCGAGAAGGGGGUUUGCGACCUCGAUGUUGAAUUAGGGUUACUACUAGGUGCAGGAGCUUAGAGAAGUGGGACUGUUCGCCCCUUAAUAUCUU
rnacentral:rRNA from 1 species